AUUGAACGCUGGCGGCAUGCCUUACACAUGCAAGUCGAACGGUAACAGGUCUUCGGAUGCUGACGAGUGGCGAACGGGUGAGUAAUACAUCGGAACGUGCCUAGUAGUGGGGGAUAACUACUCGAAAGAGUGGCUAAUACCGCAUGAGAUCUACGGAUGAAAGCAGGGGAUCGCAAGACCUUGUGCUACUAGAGCGGCCGAUGGCAGAUUAGGCCGUUGGUGGGAUAAAAGCUUACCAAGCCGACGAUCUGUGGCGGGUCUGAGAGGACGAUAGGCAACAAUGGGGCGGAGACAAGGCCCAGACUCCUACGGGGGGCAGAGGUGGGGAAGUUUGGACAAUGGGCGCAAGCCUGAUCCAGCAAUGCCGCGUGCAGGAUGAAGGCAUUCGGGUUGUAAACUGCUUUUGUACGGAACGAAAAGCCCUGGGUUAAUACCCUGGGGUCAUGACGGUACCGUAAGAAUAAGCACCGGCUAACUACGUGCCAGCCGCCGCAGUAACAC
rnacentral:rRNA from 1 species